rnacentral:rRNA from 1 species
UACGAAGGGGGCUAGCGUUGCUCGGGAAUUACUGGGCGUAAAGGGUGCGUAGGCGGUUUGGUAAGUCUGAUGUGAAAUCUAUGGGCUCAACUCAUAGUCUGCAUCGGAAACUGCCGGGCUUGAGUAUGGGAGAGGUGAGUGGAAUUCCUGGUGUAGCGGUGAAAUGCGUAGAUAUCAGGAGGAACACCUGUGGCGAAAAGCGGCUCACUGGACCAUAACUGACGCUGAUGCACGAAAGCUAGGGGGAGCAAAACAGG